rnacentral:rRNA from 1 species
AUUGAACGCUGGCGGCAGGCUUAACACAUGCAAGUCGAGCGAGCGGCGGACGGGUGAGUAAUGUCUGGGAAACUGCCUGAAGGAGGGGGAUAACUACUGGAAACUGUAGCCAAUACCGCAUACCAUCCUUUGUGCCCAGAUGGGAUUAGCUAGUUGAUGGGGUAAUGGCUCACCCAGGCGACGAUCCCUAGCUGGUCUGAGAGGAUGACCAGCCACGAUGGAACUUGGACACGGUCCAAACUCCUACGGGAGGCAGCAGUGGGGAAUAUGGCACGAGGGGCGGAAUCCUGUUGCACCCAUGCCGCGUGUAUGAAGAAGGCCGUCGGGUUGGAAAGUUCUUUCGGCGAGGAGGCGUGACGCUCAGAAGAAGCACCGGCUAACUCCGUGCCAGCAGCCGCGGUAAUUC